rnacentral:lncRNA from 1 species
UGCAUGUUAAUAGCACACGAAUGCCUUAAUAAUCUAAAUACAUUCUUGAUAAAAGUGCUUCCAGAGUUUUGGUUUUUGCAUUAUUUGCAACAUUGCAUUUGCGGAAUUCUGUUAUGGUACUUGAAUUACAAUUGCCAGCACAUGACAUUUGCACCUUUCAUACAUUUAUGUGCAGAAUUUCAGCGUGAGGUGCUGACACGGCUCUCCGUACUCAGGAUUGUUCAGCAGCAGCAAGGCGAGUUGCUAACAGCGUUGACAACCCGGUGCACUGUGAAACAGUCUGACAACGCUCCUCAAGUUGUUGUGGGCCAGUUUGACAGCUAUGACGAACUGAAGAAAUUCGACCAAACGCUAACUGGACCAGUCAGGGAGGCUGUGGUUCAACAGCUUGCAAACAUUGGGGGUCCAAGCCCAGAGUCUUGCACGCGCAGGGUUUUGAGAAGUGUGCUGUCAGACAAACUUGCAUAAACAUUCUCAUGGCACGGACGAAAGGGGAAGAAUGACUGACUGUCUGCUUCUCUCAAAGUGCAUUGUUGAUGCUGUAAAGGUCACCCAUAAAUGUGACAAUUUUGUAGUGGAAAGUGCAACCAAAGACUGGCUUCGUCAUGCCCCGGCAAGAUGUGCAUCGGAAAAGUCAGCCAGCCAUCCUUCCAGCCUGCCAGCUAGUGAUCCAACCAGUGACUAGACGUGAUUUAGCCAUUGACUAGACAUGUGAUUCAGCCAGUGACUAGACCCAUGUCCCAGCCAGCGACUAGACCUGUG